rnacentral:rRNA from 2 species
GUGUCUGGUGGGUAGUUUGACUGGGGCGGUCUCCUCCUAAAGAGUAACGGAGGAGCACGAAGGUUGGCUAAUCCUGGUCGGACAUCAGGAGGUUAGUGCAAUGGCAUAAGCCAGCUUGACUGCGAGCGUGACGGCGCGAGCAGGUGCGAAAGCAGGUCAUAGUGAUCCGGUGGUUCUGAAUGGAAGGGCCAUCGCUCAACGGAUAAAAGGUACUCCGGGGAUAACAGGCUGAUACCGCCCAAGAGUUCAUAUCGACGGCGGUGUUUGGCACCUCGAUGUCGGCUCAUCACAUCCUGGGGCUGAAGUAGGUCCCAAGGGUAUGGCUGUUCGCCAUUUAAAGUGGUACGCGAGCUGGGUUUAGAACGUCGUGAGACAGUUCGGUCCCUAUCUGCCGUGGGCGCUGGAGAACUGAGGGGGGCUGCUCCUAGUACGAGAGGACCGGAGUGGACGCAUCACUGGUGUUCGGGUUGUCAUGCCAAUGGCACUGCCCGGUAGCUAAAUGCGGAAGAGAUAAGUGCUGAAAGCAUCUAAGCACGAAACUUGCCCCGAGAUGAGUUCUCCCUGAGACUUUAGGUCUCCUGAAGGAACGUUGAAGACGACGACGUUGAUAGGCCGGGUGUGUAAGCGCAGCGAUGCGUUGAGCUAACCGGUACUAAUGAACCGUGAGGCUUAACCUUACAACGCCG